UCUCUAUACCCCACAACCCUAAAAUUCCCCCAUCUCUACUCACAUUACCAACAAAAGGCUAUUUGGGGGCCUGCCCACCUACUCAGAUGUGCCCUCGCCAAUCUGAACUACACAAUCUAUGGCAACAUCAUUCACUCUCCACAAGGUGAACCCAUGACAGCAUGUUCCUUUAUAUGCACUCCUGCACCACAAACAAACAACCCCAGAUUUACUAGAUGUUCCAAUCCUGCUGCACUGACUGCAUUUCACCCUGCCCCAUGGCAUUACAGCCAAAGUGUCACUGCAAAGGAAGCAUGGUUCUGCCAUAUGGCGAUUCUGCCUCAAUCCAGAGACGAGGAAGUUCAUGCGAGCAAGUCCCACUGGGAUUCCUGCGGAUUUAUAACACUGGUCACCAACAUGGAAAUAGGUACUGAAAGAGCAUUUUCCCUCCUUUAAAUGUUCAGGUUGAAGAACAGGCCACAGAACAGAUGGCAGCCAUGUUGACAAAAGACAUUGUAAGGCCAGGUACUCCAGCCAAACAAGAAAAAGAAGAUUUUGAACGCCAUUUGCAGUUCAUUGUGUGUACCUGACAUGGUAAUUAACAAUCCCUGGCCAUGACGCUGCAAAAUACAAUUCAAGCUACUAGCUUUUUUUCAACCUGUCCAGCAAGUAAUGCAAUAAAUAACUUGAGGAAAAAAGUUUGUUUCUUGCCAUUUCCAAAGCA